GUUCAGAAGAGGAAAGGCUUGCGGUGGAUACCUAGGCACCCAGAGACGAGGAAGGGCAUAGCAAGCAACGAAAUGCUUCGGGGAGUUGAAAAUAAGCAUAGAUCCGGAGAUUCCCAAAUAGGUCAACCUUUUAAACUGCCUGCUGAACCCAUGAGCAGGCAAGAGAUAACCUGGCGAACUGAAACAUCUUAGUAGCCAAAGGAAAAGAAAGCAAAAGUGAUUCCCAUAGUAGCGGCGAGCGAAAUGGGAGCAGCCUAAACCGUGAAAAAGGGGUUGUGGGAGAGCAAUACAAGCGUUGAGCUGCUAGCCGAAGCGGUUGAGUGUCGCACCCUAGAUGGCUAAAGUCCAGUAGCCGAAAGCAUCACUAGCUUACGCUCUGACCCAAGUAGCAUGGGGCACGUGGAAUCCCGUGUGAAUCAGCAAGGACCACCUUGCAAGGCUAAAUACUCCUAGGUGACCGAUAGCGAAGUAGUACCAUGAGGGAAAGGUGAAAAGAACCCCCAGUGGGUAGUGAAAUAGAACGUGAAACCGUGCUGAGCUCCCAAGCAGUGGGAGGGGAAAGUGAUCUCUGACCGCGUGCCUGUUGAAGAAUGAGCCGAUGACUCAUAGGCAGUGGCUUGGUUAAGGGAACGGAACCCACCGGAGUCGUAGCGAAAGCGAGUCUUAAUAGGGCGAUUGUCACUGCUUAUGGACCCGAACCUGGGUGAUCUAUCCAUGACCAGGAUGAAGCUUGGAUGAAACUAAGCAGAGGUUCGGACCGACUGAUGUUGAAGAAUCAGCGGAUGAGUUGUGGUUAGGGGUGAAAUGCCACUCGAACCCAGAGCUAGCUGGUUCUCCGUGAAAUGCGUUGAGGCGCGGCAGUUGACUGGACAUCUAGGGGUAAAGCACUGUUUCGGUGCGGGCUGCGCGAGCGGUACCAAAUCGAGGCGAACUCUGAAUAGUAGAUAUGACCCAAAAAUAACAGGGGUCAAGGUCGGCCAGUGAGACGAUGGGGGAUAAGCUUCAUCGUACGCGUAGACAACCUGGCGAACUGGAGUGAAGUCGUGAGAAGGUAGCCGUACAUUAUGUAAAUUGGGUAUCAAUUGGGAGAGAACAUGCAGUCGGACAAGUUUAAAUACGUCAUGCUAGCCGUACAUUAUUGAUUCACUUUCCUUUCAGGUUAA
rnacentral:ncRNA from 1 species